CCGUUUGUUAAAGGAAUGCCGGCUACAGCAUUCAAGAGAGCCAUUCCUUGACAAAGAAAAGAGAUAAAUGUAAAUAAGCUCAUAUUUUCAGAAGGAGCGGUUUGUUUUAAGACGCUUCGGUAGCCCAGAGUCUGUUACUUUGGGCUGGGCUAACCUUUCCCUGUUUAAAAAAAAAAAACAAAACAAAACAAAAACAAAAACAAAAACAAAAACUAAAAUAUGCACUUUUAAAGUGCAAGUUGCCCAUUUACAUGUUUAUUAGCUAAUUGUCUACAGGCAUGAGCACAUUCUUUCAUCUUGCACACUCUUUUUUGGGGUAAGUCUCUUCGAGCAAGAUUUGAUUUGGGUGUUUGGGGGAUGGGGGUGGCAUAACAAACUUCAGCAGAAACACUGAUACUUUGAGUGUUUGGGGAAAGAAGUUAGAUUUCAACUCUGAAGUGCUGAAUAAGGAUCGUAGCGUUGAAUUGUUUAAAACAAGCAAGAAUUUCUACUGUUAUGGCAAUAAUAUUGUUUCAGUGGAAGAGAUACUGUAUUUUCAAGCUGUUGUUUCAUGUAAACACAGUUGCCCUGAAGAGCAUAUUUAAAAUCACAGAGUAAUUUAGAAAUUCUUUUGGCUAGCUUUAUAUUUCUUUGGUUUACAAUUGAUUGUGAGCUAAUGUGGUUUCUAUUAUGAUGCGGUUUCUUCUAGUAAAACUAUCUGUGAUGGUAUGCCUUUGAUGUUUAAUUGAUUUAUGGAAAAUGUGACAUUUGCUGUACUGAAUAAUUCAUGAGCUUGACCAUAAAAGAAGAGACAUGUUUAAAUGCAAAACUAAUUCUGGCAUAAAUUAAAUUUGCUAUUAUAUGUGAAAUUAAUCACUGUUUUCCAUACAAAUGCAAUAAAGUGACAUUUAAAACUCUAUUUUUGUAUAUGUUGGAUAUUUUAAAGAUUUUUAGCAACGAGAUCUUGUUGAAUUGAUAAAUAUUGUGUUUUAGUUACCUUGCUUUAGGAAAUACAGCAGUGUAAUUCAUUAUUAUUCCAGCACAGAAAAGACUAGAUGAAUCUGAAGAUUAGAACAUUCAGAGAUUCAUGGAGUUAUUUACUUUGCUACCUUACCAAAUUAUACAUAUUUCUUUUUAUUUGAGUAACAUAAAGACAACAAUAAUAGCCUAAGCUCCAAAUUAUCCAGUGUCUUUGAAACAUGUUUAUUUUUCAGAACAAAAUUCCAAACAUACCCCAUUAAUAUAGAUUAUAAAUCUUUUUGCCAUGUCACAGAUGAAAAGUUGCACUCUUGCUAAAAAGGAUGAGUUCAGCUGAUACACUUGAUGGCAUCUACACUCUAAAGCAUUUCCUGCCAAUCAGAGAUGUGAAUGAAAGCCCUACUGGAACAAUCAGACUAGCCUUUCAGAGUUUGUACUAUGUGAGUUCAAGAGAGGAAUGGGAAGAUGCUUUCAGGAACACUCAGGCAAGCUUAGCUAAAUCUUUGUUUAUUCCAUUUACUUUGAGAAAAAAAUACAGUGAGAAUUGUUGCCCUUGCUGUGGUGUGGUCAGGGCCUAAUUGUGUAGUUGUCUUUUUUUUUUUUUUUUAUUGUGUGUAUGGUCAUCAUCUAUAGUCUUAUCUUGGCCUUCCUAAGGGGAGGGGAAAAACCUAUAAUAUAUUUGUGAAUAUUAGUACUGAAAAUUGGGAGAUUAAUAGGAGGUCACCUACCACUGGGAAUCCAGCCUCACUUUUAGUAGGUAAGUAAUUUGUUACUAGAACAAUGGAUAGGGUAAGCAGUCUACUAAUUCUGUCAUUAUGUUCUGAAGUACUUUGACAACCUUAUAUUUUGAGGAGAGAUGUGACUGGGGAAUAGGUGGAAAAGGUUGAGGAUUAAAAUCUAUACAAUUGAACCAAUAUGUCUGCUGAUAUGGGCACAAAGGGGAUGAGGAAAAAGAGGGUAUUAGGAAGACUUUAGGAUAUAAUGACGUCUUGAUCUGUGAUUCUUUGCAUCUGGCACUAACUAAUAAUAUUUAUUUCUGAUAUUAAAAUAAAUCUCAACUAUGUAUGGUAACACAUGUUAGCUAGACUUAUUGUGGUGAUAAUUUUGCAAUAUUUACAAAUUUUGAAUAAUUAUGUUGUAUACCCGAUACUAAUACAAUGUUGUAUGCCAGUUAUACUUCAAUUAAAAUAAAUAAAUCUAGCAAUAAUUUCAUUGAAUCUAAUAAAAUUAAUUUCCUUUAUCUCAGACUUUGAGAAAUUAUUAUUACCUUUUUGCAUUAACAAAUAGGAACAAAUGCAAACACCUGAUAGGAGAGAAUAGCCAGUGAGGCCGCUGCCUUAGCAUCAGUUGAAGACUGCUGUCAAUCAAAGCCAAAGGUGGAAGGAGAAUAGAAACUGAGGUCCAAAAAGGGACUGCAACUUGCUCUCACAUAGUUAGUAAUGGGGCUGGAUGUAGCCAUAUUGAAUUAAUAGAAAGUAUGGAAACUUCUGGGUAUUUGAACUUCCUAGUUUGCUUGUAUUCCAAAUAAAAAUAAGUUUUCUUCAUAAUCUGUUUCUAUUGUUAAAGCCAUAAAAGAAAGGAAUGCUAAUGUUUUUGUCUUAUGAUGAAACCAUAAAAUGAUGUUCAUUUCAUUUCAAAAGUACUGUUUUCUAGAGGAGUGUGAAAAAUCAAUUCUCCUUAAUAUUAAGGUGAUCUCAAAUAUAUUUUAGAUUGCCUAAUGACUGUGGUUUUUUGUUUUGGUUAUCUUAGAUCAUAGAAAAAUCAUUUUAGGGGAGUGGGGUAUUAUUUACCAGUCUGCUUUGUUUAGGCCACUUCUGUUCAGAAGAGGGUGAGAUGUGACAAUGGUGUAAGUUUGGCACUGGCAGAUGGUUCUAUUUUACAGGCGGUAAAUGAAUAGUGUUCAACUGCAGGUGGUAUUGGUAAGAAUUCCACUGUUGAGUAUUUCUAGUUCUAUGCCAGUACUUUGGGCAGAGCUGUGAUUUGAAGGUAUUACAGAACAUGCUAGGCCUAGGACAUCCUAGUAGGAGCAGCAAUGAUUGUCAGUGUGCUAAUACCCAGCAAUUGAAGCCUUGCUUAUAUUACUGUAGUUCAGGGGAGAAAGACAUCCAGCUGGGGUGGGGGUGCACGUUAGAGCCAAGGCAAUGUGGUCUCCACCUUUGUUUCAGUCUUCUUUCAUUUUCCUCUAUCAAGGCCCCUGUCCAGUAGUAACAGGUUUUGCCAGACAAAAAAAAAAAGAAAAGAAAAAAAACAAAGAACCAAUAUAAUUUCAGGGCAAAAAAUAUAAAUCUCCUUUGUUCAAUUAUUUUUUAAUGUAACGUAUUACCUUAUGGAAGUGGACGAAGUAUUUUAUGCCUUUUGUCACUAGUUAUCUUUAAUGAUUAUAGGUUAUACAGACUCAUGGAAUUUGUGCUUGUCACUAUAACUAAUGAAAUGUGGCUCAUCAGUGACAGGUUUGAAAAAUAAAAUGUUAUCUGCAAUUCUGUAAUAAUAAAAUCUGAAACAUUUAGGUACCACUUUAAAAUAUGUUAGCUUUAAUUUACUCUGGUUUAUAUCAUAUAAUAAAUUUCUUUACCUUAUAAUCUUUGUAUACAUUUAUUGGUAAGGUCUCUCCAUGGCACACUAUUGUGACUAAUUCUGUUUCACAGCAUUCAUUGGAGGAAAUUCCUAACAAUUGGUGCCAGAAUUUUGUUUGAACUGAUAUGGUGAGGACCACUCUCCUGGUAAUAACUUUCUCCAAAUUCUUAAUUACAUUCUGCAACUUUUUUUGUGUGUAUAAUCAGUACUUCCAAUUUAUUAUAGAUGAUAAGACCCAAAACCCCAGAAUAAAUGGAGGUGUUGUAAUCAUUCAUUGUAAUUCAGACAAUUUUGGUGUAGAUGUAUAUUGAUCCUUUGGUUUAAGCCCUCUAUGCCAUUGGUAUAUACCUUUAGAUUAUGGGAGACAUAGUUUUUAUUCAUAUUAUCAAAAUCAGUAUCCAAGUAUGUCAGAUGAAUUGGUAUGCAAAUUAAUAACUAAUUUGCCUGUUUAAAUAUGUGUAAUAAAGCCAAAUUCCCAGUUGGCAUGUAUGAAACUUACAGAUUUUGGAAAUGAACAUCCACAAUUUUUCCCAAAAGGCCUGGGGCUUCUCUGAGAUGAUAUUGAAUCUCAAGACUCUAGACAAUUUCAUAAUAUUAGGUUGAGCAAUUUCUCUGCAGUUGUUUUAUUCUAUAACUAUUAGGGAAAAUUCUACUUUAGUAGGGUUGAUGCAAUCUUUGGCCCCAUCGUGUUGAGCACUAAACAAUAUUAUUUUUCAAAGAGUAGACCGUGUCAUCAAAUGAAAGAUUAGUGAGAGACUGGAUUUAAUUGGAUGUGUCAAGUUAAUCACUGAGGAUAGGCUCUGCUCUGAUUAGGACCUGUGUCAAUUUCCUGCUCUUCUCAAAUAAAGUGAGGAAGCAAAACAGUCAUAAUAAUCUCAGUGCAAAUCAAAGUCAACAUAGAGAAAUGAUUUUUAAAAGGAUAAUUCUUGCAUCAAAAAUAAAUGGGGACACCUAGAUGAUUUAGUCAGUUAAGCGUCCGACUUUUGAUUUCAGCUCAGGUCAUGAUCUCACGGUCCUGAGAUUGAGCCCGGGCCAUGGGGCUCCAUGCUGGGCAUGGAGCCUGCUUUAGAUUCUCUCUCUUCCUCUCAUUGUUCCCCUCCCCACCCAAGAAAAAAAAAUAAAUGAUGCUUAUCAAUCUAAUCAUUUGACACACAGUUUGGCUUGCUUAACAUGAGACCUGAUAGAGAUCAAUUUCCCAGCUCAGUUCUGGAGUAAAAUAUUUACUUAUGGUUUCCUCCAUAUGUAAUGCCAUAAGACUAACUUGUAUUUUAAAAACUAUUAUGAACCAUCAACCAGUGCAUAGGAACAUCAAUUAGAAUCAUGUGUAUGAUCAUGACCUGUUCCUGUGACUUGGUCUUAUCUGUUAGCAGCCACUCUCAUCUGAGAAGCAACAGUGUGGACAUAUUCCCUAUUACUCCAGGAGAAUGGUUUUGAUCUAUAUUUUUGUGACAUUUUUGUAUUUUCUACUUUGCUUCACUGCUAGUUAUUUAUAGGCAAGGACACAAUAGGUUUUAGCUUCCUCUGAAAACUAUUGUGUCAAUGUUCCUAAGCUUUCACCAGAGGAGAAAGAGGAAAUUCUCAGGGGAUCAGAAGCACUCUGAUCUGAUCCAAGCUCAUUAAAAAAGGAGCAAGGUAAGAGAAUAUAGGUAUACUCUACCUCCAAGGCCUUAUUUUCCUAUGCUAUGGACUAUCUUCUGUAGUGAACAAAAGCAAGCUAGUCUUUCUAGGCUACUGGGAAUGUGCCAGAAGUUAGAACUUUGUUUUGAAUGUAUCAUCUGAAAGUUUAGCAUUUAGUGAAGUGAUUUCAGUGUUCAUGUUUAUAGGGUCAAAAAGCUAGCUCCCUUCCUCUAGGAGUGCCAAAGUUCCCAAACAUGGCAUAUUACAUCAUUAUUAGAUGUUAAAAAAAAAUGGUCACAUUACUGUGAACUGUUUGAAUUGGCUCCAUAUGUGUAUGUCAAAUUUAAAAUUUCAUUGAGGGUCAGAUUUCCCUUUGGUCAACCUCCAGGUGAUCUGCCUCCUAACCAUGGUCAGUGAAAAUGCAUCCGCCCUGCACUCUGAACUCCCUAGGUGAUUAAUUAUUGGAAUGAUUGGAUGCAAAAUUCUUUACAAGAAAAUAGCCACAUGCUACUUGCAGUAGAAUAUGUAAUUAACUGCAUCAGCCUAUAUUUUCUCUUCCUCAUCUCAUCUGAAGCUUGUGUUGGCCCUUUGCCUUCAUUCAGUGCACAAUAUGUUGGCCAUUUGUGAAAAUCUAAUGGUUAAAAAACAGUUUCUUUUAGUCAAAAGGAAGACAGUCAGAAGAGACCUUGUCUUUUGAAUAUCAUUGAUUCUUCUUCAGAAUCAGCUUGAAAGCCAAAUGCCUCUCUGAUAUUUUUUAACCAUAGCUCAUUGAAAAAUAGUCCUUUUGAGGGCACCCUCCUGGAUUGUCCUAUUUAUGACAAAAUUGUGUAAAGGUUGAAACUCUCAGGGGGCUUUCUGACAUAUAAGGUAUAUAUGGUGUUAGGAGAAAGAUGUGUUGCUUAGUAAGUUCAGUUUACUAAGAAAGACAGAGACAUAGGUGUCCAGUUGGAUAGGAAAGGAAAAAAUCUUCUAUAAUGUUUCUUUGUGAUUAGGUAGGACUGGAUACUGGCAAGCUUAAGGCCUGUUGAAUCUUCUUAGCCUUGGUUGUGAGGCUCAGAGGUAAUGUUUAUACAGGGAAGAGAAACAGUAUAGUCAAGUUACAGAGUGAACUAGUGUCUGAGUCAGAAAUAAAACUCCUUGCUUCCAAUACUGUGUUAAUUCCCAACACCACACCCUCACUGCUAGACAGAAAAGGUGCUAUGUGUUCAAGCAAAGGAAAUUUAUGAAUAGAGCCUUAGUGGCAGUUUUCCCAUGCCCUGUCUUCAGGAUUGAGACUGAAAUGCUUUCUUGUUUGUGGUCCUUUCUCUCCCACAGGAUUUGGUUACUCAAAGCACCAAAGUAGAAGUGCCAGACUGCCUGUUGUUGGUAUAGUGUAUGUGUGCUGAGAGACAUAAAACUGAAUGGAAAACUAGGGAGACAAAUUUCAACUAUUUGAAACACACCAUCUUGGGAAGUAGAAAAUAAUAAAAAGCCAGUGAGCUAGAAGAAUGCUGUGUAAAAAAAGAUAUCAGUGGGCAGAGUGUAGGGACUCUGGGAAUAGUUGAAAAGGCAUCUAUUAUGAAAGCAGUUUCCAAAUAAUAUUUUUGGCCUUACUUAUUGCAGAAGGCAGGUGCAAGCAGAUUAUAGUAAAUGAAGCUUGGGUUUAAUAUUAGGGAUUUUUCAGUCCUUUAAUUUAUUUAGAUUGUGUAAAUUUAUGAUAGAGGAAUAUUUUUGACUAACUGGAUUUCUUUCAACAAUGAAAAAAAAAAGGCCUCCAGACUAAUGCGUAGUGAGUGGGGAUGUUAAAAAUAGUAUACAAAGUGGUUUAAGCAGUUGAGAAGUUUUCCAUUUAUUUUUGUUUCUAUCACAUUGGUGAAACAAUCUGCAGAAACUUGGGUCUAUAGUUCCCAAAGUGAGAUAUGAACCCCAAUGACAGAUUUUUUCAGGCUUUUCCUGUUUUUGCUGAUCAGCUUCAGUGACUUUAAACAUAGUGAUUGCAUACAGUUCUUUAUGAGAAAACUGGAAGGAGUUAGAUGAAGCAAAGUAGUAUAGAGGAUGGGAUUUGAGGAAUUGUGAGCCAGAAAUAUCUCCCAAGGUCCUAAAUACAAAUUAGAUGACAGCACUGACCUCUACCCAGCAAGGUCUUUUUUCUUUUAUCUUUUUUUAUUCUUUAAAUUCUUGUUUUAAUUUCCUUGCUACUUUCCCAUUUCCUCUUUUGCUCUCCUCACCUAUUUAUAUUUGUCCACUGUCUGUUUCUUCCCAUUCUGGACCUUACUUGGUCAAGGUUCCUACUAUACUUUGCUUUUACAUAUCAAGGUUGAUUGUGGCAAGAGUUGAGCUGGGCCUGUGAGAUGAAAUAGCCAAGAAAUAAUAUGAUCUUAGUGCAGUGUUAGGCUCAGGGGGUGGGGAGGGGGAAGACACUCCAUAAAGAUUUUUUGAGUGAGAAUUCAAUAAUAACAAGUUUCCAAUCUUAACUUGAGAACUUUUUUUUUUUUUAAUUUUUUUUUUCAACGUUUAUUUAUUUUUGGGACAGAGAGAGACAGAGCAUGAACGGGGGAGGGGCAGAGAGAGAGGGAGACACAGAAUCGGAAACAGGCUCCAGGCUCUGAGCCAUCAGCCCAGAGCCCGACGCGGGGCUCGAACUCACGGACCGCGAGAUCAUGACCUGGCUGAAGUCCGACGCUUAACCGACUGCGCCACCCAGGCGCCCCAAGAGAACUUUUGCAAUUAAAAAAUGACAACUUUUUGAUUCAUAUCCCAUAAGUCAUCUCGUCAAGGUCAUCUCUUCCUCUAGGCACUGCAGUCAGUGAGUGUUUUUUUUUUUUCCCCCCAAAUCAGUUUUUUCUCAGUGCAAACACUGGUUCAAGUAACUUCAGGCUUCUGCAUCUCUGGCAGAUUCCUGCCUCCACUCCAUUUUCUGUUAUAUAAAAUAGCCCUUUGAUCUGUUCCUUGGGAGUUAGAAGGAAAGAGUAAUGUAAGGAGAAACCACUUCAGAUAAAUGCCUUUCAAUUAAAAAAAUAUAUAAUCCUGUGUACAGCAGCACUUUCAACAAUAGCCAAAUUAUGGAAAGAGCCUAAAUGUCCAUCAACUGAUGAAUGGAUAAAGAAGAUGUAGUUUACAUAUACAAUGGAAUACUGCUUGGCAAUGGGAAAGAAUGAAAUCUGGCCAUUUGCAGCAAUGUGGAUGGAACUGGAGGGUAUUAUGCUAAGUGAAAUAAGUUAGGCAGAGAAAGAUACCAUAUGUUUUCACUCAUAUGUGGAUCCUAAGAAACUUAAGACCAUGGGGGAGGGGAAGGGAAUAAAAAAAGUUACAGAGAGGGAGGGAGGAAAACCAUAAAAGACUCUUAAGGACUGAGAACAAACAGAGGGUUGGGGGGUGGGGAGAGGGGAAAGUGGGUGAUGGGCAUGGAGGAGGGUACUUGUUGGGAUGAGCAUUGGAUGUUACAUGGAACAAAUUUGACAAUAAAUUAUAUUUAAAAAAAUAAAAUAAAAUAAAAUAAAAUAAAAAAUAUAAUCAUGUGAAAAUCCAUUAUUGAACAUGUCAGGGAGCAAAGACCACUUUUAUUGCAUAUCCUCCUCAUUGAAAAGAAUUGCCCAUUUUGCAUUAUAGAGAAUUCAAAAGGCUGUUCCUAUCAAAUGACAGCUACUAACCAAGAAAUUUAGAAAGACUUCUAUAUGCACCUCUGAGCAAUGUUGGCCCAGAUACUAAAAAAAAUAAAAAAAUAAAAAAAAAAUGGUUAAGUUAAUGACUGCCAUAUGUAUAAGCAGGGGCAAUCAAAGGGCAUGUAACUGGUCAGAUCAGAAGUUUACAGUGUGGUAGAGGAAUGGGCAUUUAUGUCAAAUCUACCUUUCACACUUCACUUAUAUUCAGCCAGAGAAGGUUCCAUUGAUUAAGGCCGUUUUAGGAGCUGAAGGCAUGAAAGUAACUGAUGGAAUGGGAGGGGGAUAAGAAGACAUCCUAAGCUAAGCAUUUAGCUUGAGAGAGAUUUGGAAAGGGGACUACAAUCUGCAAGAGGGAAACUCUGAGAUUAUUUGAAUUAUUGCUCUAGAAAGACAAUGUAAUACAGUGAAAAAUCUUUUCACCAGAAGCUUUAAUUAACUGAGGAAUCCAUGCUCUCUGAAUUCAUGUUUUAGAAGAAAAAGAUGAAUUGAUUAUUUACUUCAAUAAUUUAGUCAGAGGGGCACCUGGGUGGCUCAGUCAAUUGAGAGUCCGGCUCUUGAUUUUGACUCAGGUCAUCAUCUCACGGUUCGUGGGAUCACUUCUGGCUUUGUGCUUACAGUGCGGAGCCUGCUUGGGAUUCUCUAUCCCUCUCUCUCUGCCUCUCCCUUGCUCUUCCUCUCAAAUAAAUAAAUAAACAUUAAAAAAUAAGCUUAGUUAAAACUUUUUUAAGGGCAUGUCCUGGAGGUCCCAUAUCGACCUGUAGUCUUGUGCAAUAGAACUAAUAAUUAGACAAUAAGGUUUACUAAUAUUAGAAAAGAAACAAAAUAAUUUAGAUUAGUUUAACAAUUCUUUGGUUAUGAAUAAAAAAGGUGAAUUCUGGUUCUGAUGGUACCAUUUACACAUUCUCCUAAUUCUGACAUCAUAAUUCUAAAUUACAUAAGCCUCAGUUUCUUCUUCUAUAAUAUGGUGAUAAAUUCUUGUCUUCCUACCUUAUGAUGUUCUUGUGGGAAUCAAAUAAAACACAUUUUUGAAAGUUAAAAAAUUCCAUAAAAAUUUCAAACUAUUAGUGUUGUUUUAAUUAUCAAAGGCCCAUUUCCCCACCUCCAUCCCCCAUCCCUGCUUGGGCUCUCAUGUAGACAAUAUCUUAUUUCUGUUCAUUGCAAUGCUACAUACAGUACUGCAUUUGUUAUAUUGUGUGUGAUCUCUCCCAAUCUUGCAACAUAUUCCUGUAGUACCUUUUAACAUAUUGUAGGUGCUCAAAAGGUACUUGUCAAACCAAAUUGAAUGUGUAUAUUGUUUCCAGUCUGGGUGAACAAAAUAUCUUUUACUCCACAGAAAUGAAUGGAAGGCAGAUUUGAUUAUUCAUUCCAUCUUGUCUCCCAUAGGAGGAAAAUAUUUCUUACCAGUCUCUAGUCUCAAAGUGGUGAACCCUGCAGGCAGCAGGCCUUCUGAAAAAAAUCCAUGGGUGACAGAAGAUUCAUUGACUUUCAAUUUCAAGAUUUAAAUUCAAGCUUCAGACCCAGGUUGGGCAAUGCUACUGCCAAUAAUACUUGCAUUGUUGAUGAUUCCUUCAAGUAUAAUCUGAAUGGUGCUGUCUA
rnacentral:lncRNA from 1 species